rfam:Butyrivibrio proteoclasticus strain P18 genome assembly, contig: Ga0066879_140
GACUCUAUGGUAUAAAGGCUAUUAUGCCGGACUGUCUAUCCGGAGAUCAGAGUUCGAUUCUCUGUAGAGUCG